AAACCGUUCAGGGGUAAACCUGAGAAACCCAAAAGAUCGAAUGGGGAGAUUCAUCGUCAGCUUUGACGGCUUGCGUGCUGCUCGCGAUGCUCGGCUUGGGACGUGUAACAGCGUUUUUUGGUCGAGCACGCGGUGGCUGCGCAAUUUUGCGCCGUUGAAGUCGGCGUGCACUUCUCCCCUAGUAGGACGUCGCGACCCGUUGAGUGUCGGUCCAAGGCCCGCGAGGUUGACUGCCGGUGUUUGGCGGCGCCGUCAAAAGCGUCGUCUCGUCGCCGGUAGACCCGCGGUCGCCCGACCGACUGCUCGGCGGUAAAAAUUGUUUGAAUGUUCAAUGGUAUCGAGCCGCAUGUUUUGAAUGCGUUCUUUUGGCUCGUCGGCAGGUGAGCCUCGCCUCGGAUUUACGGACCUGGUGCCGUUGUCGAGCGAGUUUUGUUUGCCGUUUUGCCGACGAUGUCCUCGGACGGGCUCUAUAAAGAGCUCUCGAGCUCUUUUGUUACCAGUCAGCGACGCUACUGCUUUGGGUACUUUCAGGACCCGUCUUGAAACACGGACCAA
rnacentral:rRNA from 1 species